GGUUUUAACCCAGUUACCAAGGUAAUUUGGAGUUCCGACCUUUCUUUCGAGAGAGUGUCAAGAACAUUUUCUAAUUUUUGGAACAGCUCUCCCGGGGUAUCCGGUUGGGCGAU
rnacentral:sRNA from 1 species